rnacentral:ribozyme from 14 species
UUCUCUUCUCUUCUCUUUCUUUUCUUUCUUUUCUCUUCCUUCCCACUUUCAGAUAGAAAGAAAGAAAGAAAGAAGAGGGGAGAACGAGAGAACGAAACUCACAAAACUUUUUCAAUGCGUGCUUUUGUUAGCUAUCAUGAUAACAGCGGGAAAGAUAAAG